rnacentral:rRNA from 1 species
UACGGAGGGUGCAAGCGUUAUCCGGAUUCACUGGGUUUAAAGGGUGUGUAGGCGGGUAUUUAAGUCAGUGGUGAAAUCUCCAGGCUCAACCUGGAAACUGCCAUUGAUACUAUUUAUCUUGAAUCCUGUUGAGGUGGGCGGAAUAUAUCAUGUAGCGGUGAAAUGCUUAGAUAUGAUAUAGAACACCGAUUGCGAAGGCAGCUCACUAAGCAGGUAUUGACGCUGAGGACGAAAGCGUGGGGAUCAAACAGG